rnacentral:tRNA from 1 species
AAUGAUGAGCCUGAUCUAAAGGAGUAUCGUGAUAGGAUAAAAUAUGUAGUCCCAAUCCUACCUUCAUUA